rnacentral:rRNA from 1 species
GUGAACGCUGGCGGUAGGCCUAACACAUGCAAGUCGAACGGCAGCACAGUAAGAGCUUGCUCUUACGGGUGGCGAGUGGCGGACUGGUGAGGAAUACAUCGGAAUCUACUUUUUCGUGGGGGAUAACGUAGGGAAACUUACGCUAAUACCGCAUACGACCUACGGGUGAAAGCAGGGGAUCUUCGGACCUUGCGCGAUUGAAUGAGCCGAUGUCGGAUUAGCUAGUUGGCGGGGUAAAGGCCCACCAAGGCGACGAUCCGUAGCUGGUCUGAGAGGAUGAUCAGCCACACUGGAACUGAGACACGGUCCAGACUCCUACGGGAGGCAGCAGUGGGGAAUAUUGGACAAUGGGCGCAAGCCUGAUCCAGCCAUACCGCGUGGGUGAAGAAGGCCUUCGGGUUGUAAAGCCCUUUUGUUGGGAAAGAAAAGCAGCAGGUUAAUACCCCGCUGUUCUGACGGUACCCAAAGAAUAAGCACCGGCUAACUUCGUG